UUGCUAUGAUGAGUUAUAUUAUUAUUGAUAGUAUGUAUGAGAAUUUGAUUAUUGAGCUUUUUAACACUGAGCAAU